GGAGCGGUAGUUCAGCUUGGUUAGAAUGCUUGCCUGUCACGCAGGAGGUCGCGGGUUCGAGCCCCGUCCGUUCCGCCA
rnacentral:tRNA from 1 species